rnacentral:rRNA from 1 species
AACGAACGCUGGCGGCAGGCCUAACACAUGCAAGUCGAACGCUCGUAGCAAUACGGGAGUGGCAGACGGGUGAGUAACACGUGGGAACCUUCCCUAUGGUUCGGAAUAGCUCAGGGAAACUUGGGGUAAUACCGGAUAAGCCCUUCGUGGGAAAGAUUUAUCGCCAUUGGAUGGGCCCGCGUCGGAUUAGCUAGUUGGUGAGGUAACGGCUCACCAAGGCAACGAUCCGUAGCUGGUCUGAGAGGAUGAUCAGCCACACUGGGACUGAGACACGGCCCAGACUCCUACGGGAGGCAGCAGUGGGGAAUAUUGGACAAUGGGCGCAAGCCUGAUCCAGCCAUGCGCGUGAGUGACGAAGGUCUUCGGAUUGU